rnacentral:rRNA from 1 species
UACGGAGGGUGCGAGCGUUGUCCGGAAUCACUGGGCGUAAAGGGCGCGUAGGUGGCGUCGUAAGUCUGUGGUGAAAGCCCGGAGCUCAACUCCGGGUCUGCCGCGGAUACCUGCGAGGCUUGAGUGCUGUAGAGGGGGUAGAAUGCCGGGUGUAGCGGUGGAAUGCGUAGAUAUCAGGAGGAAUACCGGUGGUGUAGACGGCUCUCUGGACCGCCACUGACGCUGAGACACGAAAGCGUGGUAGCAAACAGG